rnacentral:rRNA from 1 species
UACGUAGGGGGCGAGCGUUAUCCAGAUUUACUGGGCGUAAAGCGCGUGUAGGCGGCUGGUUAGGUGUGAUGUGAAAUCCUCGGGCUCAACCCGAGAACUGCAUUGCAAACCGGCCUGGCUAGAGUGCAGGAGAGGGAAGCGGAAUUCCAGGUGUAGCGGUGAAAUGCGUAGAUAUCUGGAGGAACACCGGUGGCGAAGGCGGCUAUCUGGACAGAGUCUGACGCUGAGGCGCGAAAGCUAGGGGAGCAAACAGG